CAGAGACAGAGACAGAGAGACAGACAAAGAGAGGAGGGUGGGGUGCAGAAAUGGAAAUAAAUUUGGAGAGAGAUGGAGUUGGAUGCUCAUCUCGAUAAGGAUUGUGACUUUAUUCUGAAACAAUGGGAAACCUUAAAACAUCCUUGUAUCCCAGCCCUGAAGAGGCUAAGGCAGGAGGAUUGCUAUGAGUUUUAGGCCAGCCUGUGCUACUCAGUUCAUGGUAGUCUGGACAGGGACUGAUUGAGACCCUGACUCAAAACAAAUACAUUGUUUUAAAAAGAAGGAAAAUUCUGAUAUAGAACAGGGACCUCAGAGUGGGCAGACUUGGAGUUACGGCCUAAGGUAGGGGAAAUUGAAUAAUAACCCCUUACACUUACACUGCACUUUGCAAGUGCCCUGUGAGGAAGGAAGACAGUGAUUGGCAACCUCUUCCUGUGGCUGCUCUGAGACAUAUGGAUGACCCAGAGCCACAGAAUUAGCGGGUGGCUUAAACUGAACUCAGACGCUUGAGUGCAUCUCUCAGGAUCUAACUCCAGGUGCUGGUCCACACCGCUGCUUGUGAAGCCUAGCAGGUUUGUCCAUCCUUGUUACAAAGUGGCUGCAACAGCUCCAGGCAUUCUUCAACCAAGGAUAACUGAUACAAUACGGCUCAAAAUUCAGACAAAAAGGGAAGGAGUAAUUUGAGGAAGGGAACUUACCCAGAAACUCCAGGCUUCUCAUCAUAACCCCUUGGCCAGAAUUACCUUCCAAAUUCACUCCAAAAGCAAGCAUUGGCAGACUUGAUUAGAUGAACAUCUCCAAGCACACACCCUCAGAGAGGCUGAGGUGUCCAGAUGUGAAGGAACAUCUCAGUCUGCAGGUCCCCAAAUGGUCUGCUUUUGAUAUUACGUGAACUGCCCAUUAAAAGCCACAUGUAUGAGGACUUCCCGCUACUGAUUAUCCUAAAUGAAAAUGGAAGGCACCCAUCAUCCCCAUCAGAAAUCUGGCAGAUGCUGGCAGGAAGUACACGUGGUUUCUGAGAUUGACUUUUCCCUCUUGAAAAGCCUUGUGUGAACAUAGAACUCAGGGCCUUGCAUAUAGAAGAAAGCAUUCUACCACAUCCUCAACACUUGAGAUAGGUUUUCUUCUUCAAUAGCACAUAUUGAUUUUUCACUGAGGUUGGGGAAAAAGCAAUGGGGUUUGUA